GACGAACGCUGGCGGCGUGCCUAACACAUGCAAGUCGAGCGGAGUCGAUCGACGGAAGCCUUCGGGCGGAAGAUGGUUGACUUAGCGGCGGAUGGGUGAGUAACGCGUGGGCAACCUGCCUCGAAGACCGGGAUAACAGCCCGAAAGGGCUGCUAAUACCGGAUGUGGUCAAGGAUCCGCAUGGAUUUUUGAUUAAAGGGGAAACCCGUUUCGAGAUGGGCCCGCGUCCUAUCAGCUAGUUGGUGAGGUAAAAGCUCACCAAGGCGACGACGGGUAGCCGGCCUGAGAGGGUGACCGGCCACACUGGAACUGAGACACGGUCCAGACUCCUACGGGGGGCAGCAGUGGGGAAUCUUCCACAAUGGGCGAAAGCCUGAUGGAGCGACGCCGCGUGAGCGAAGAAGGCCUUCGGUGUAAGCUCUGUCUGGAGGGACGAAGGAAGUGACGGUACCUCCGGAGGAAGCCACGGCGUAACUACGUG
rnacentral:rRNA from 1 species